AGUGAACGCUGGCGGUAGGCCUAACACAUGCAAGUCGAACGGCAGCACAGUAAGAGCUUGCUCUUACGGGUGGCGAGUGGCGGACGGGGGAGGAAUACAUCGGAAUCUACUUUUUCGUGGGGGAUAACGUAGGGAAACUUACGCUAAUACCGCAUACGACCUACGGGUGAAAGCAGGGGAUCUUCGGACCUUUCGCGAUUGAAUGAGCCGAUGUCGGAUUAGCUAGUUGGCGGGGUAAAGGCCCACCAAGGCGACGAUCCGUAGCUGGUCUGAGAGGAUGAUCAGCCACACUGGAACUGAGACACGGUCCAGACUCCUACGGGAGGCAGCAGUGGGGAAUAUUGGACAAUGGGCGCAAGCCUGAUCCAGCCAUACCGCGUGGGUGAAGAAGGCCUUCGGGUUGUAAAGCCCUUUUGUUGGGAAAGAAAAGCAGCAGGUUAAUACCCCGCUGUUCUGACGGUACCCAAAGAAUAAGCACCGGCUAACUUCGUG
rnacentral:rRNA from 1 species